GGACUCGUAGCUCAAUUGGAUAGAGCACCUGACUACGGAUCAGGAGGUUAGGGGUUCGACUCCCUUCGAGUUCA
rnacentral:tRNA from 1 species